UAGGGAAUCUUCCGCAAUGGGCGAAAGCCUGACGGAGCAACGCCGCGUGAGUGAUGAAGGUCUUCGGAUCGUAAAACUCUGUUAUUAGGGAAGAACAAAUGUGUAAGUAACUAUGCACGUCUUGACGGUACCUAAUCAGAAAGCCACGGCUAACUACGUGCCAGCAGCCGCGGUAAUACGUAGGUGGCAAGCGUUAUCCGGAAUUAUUGGGCGUAAAGCGCGCGUAGGCGGUUUUUUAAGUCUGGUGUGAAAGCCCACGGCUCAACCGUGGAGGGUCAUUGGAAACUGGAAAACUUGAGUGCAGAAGAGGAAAGUAGAAGUCCAUGUGUAGCGGUGAAAUGCGCAGAGAUAUGGAGGAACACCAGUGGCGAAGGCGACUUUCUGGUCUGUAACUGACGCUGAUGUGCGAAAGCGUGGUAAUCAAACAGG
rnacentral:rRNA from 1 species